CCUACGGGCGGCAGCAGUGAGGAAUAUUGGUCAAUGGCCGGAAGGCUGAACCAGCAAAGCCGCGUGAAGGACGAAGGUGCCAAGCAUUGUAAACUUCUUUUGUCAGGGAGCACAAUCAGGCGCGAGAGCAUGACCGAGUUUACUUUAACAAAAAGCAUCGCCGAGCUCCGUUCCAGCCGACGCGGUAAUACGGGGGAUGCGGGCGGUAUCCGGAUCUCUUUGGUUUAAAGGGUGCGUAGGCGGGCUGUUAAGUCAGCGGUAAAAGCCCGGGGCUCAACCCGGGCGAGCCGUUGAAACUGGCUGUCUUGAGAUGUCGAGAGGUAUGCGGAAUGCGCAGUGUAGCGGUGAAAUGCGUAGAUAUUGCGCAGAACUCCGAUGGCGAAGGCAGCAUACCGGCGGCGAUCUGACGCUGAGGUACGAAAGCGUGGGUAUCGAACAGGAUUAGAUACCCUUGUAGUC
rnacentral:rRNA from 1 species